CAAAGGCUGGUGUGCGGCUGCUGAGGUGAUCUGGCGCAGAGCGCUGGAGCUGCUUGCCGCUAGUCGGGCUCCUCCCCUCGCUUUGCGGCCUCUCUGAGGUUGAUCCCGUUCUUGUGUACUCUGGCAGAAUGUGGAUGACGCCCAAAAGGAGCAAGAUGGAAGUCGACGAGGCUCUUGUUUUCCGGCCCGAAUGGACCCAGCGUUACUUGGUGGUGGAACCUCCAGAGGGCGAUGGGGCCCUGUGCUUGGUCUGUCGCCGCCUUGUCGCUUCUACCCGCGAACGUGACGUCAGGCGCCACUACGAGGCGGAACACGAAUACUAUGAGCGGUAUGUGGCGGAGGGCGAUCGCGCGGCCUUGGUGGAGCGUCUGCGUCAGGGCGACAUGUCGUUGAGCACCUUGCUCACUCCAGAGGAGAAAGCUGCUCGUGCAGGCCUCGGGCUCUGUCGCCUGUUGGCCUUGAAGGGUCGCGGCUGGGCUGAGGGGGACUUUGUACACCAGUGCAUGGAGAUAUUGCUAAAAGAGGUACUGCCGGAGCAUGUAGGCGUCUUGCAAAGAAUUAAUUUGUCUCCAGAGAUCACAAGGCAGAGGAUUCUGAGCAUUGACAGUAAUCUACGUUGUCAGCUUUUUAACCGAGCCAGACAAUUUAAAGCCUAUUCUCUUGCCUUGGACGACCAGGCUUUUGUGGCCUAUGAGAACUAUCUCCUGGUCUUUAUUCGUGGCGUGGGCCAUGAUUUGGAGGUGCAGGAAGACCUUCUGACCAUAAUCAACCUGACUCAUCACUUCAGUGUUGGUGCACUCAUGUCGGCCAUUCUAGAGUCUUUGCAGAGAGCAGGGCUUAGCUUGCAGCGAAUGGUUGGACUGACCACGACGCACACUUUGAGAAUGAUUGGUGAGAACUCAGGACUGGUCUCAUACAUGAGAGAAAAGGCCGUGAGUCCCAACUGUUGGAAUGUUAUCCACUAUUCAGGAUUUCUUCACUUGGAACUGUUGAGCUCUUAUGACAUAGAUAUUAAUCAGAUCGUAAAUACCAUAUCAGAAUGGAUAGUUUUAAUUAAGACCAGAGGCGUUAGGCGACCGGAGUUUCAGUCUUUACUAACUGAAUCUGAGUCAGAGCAUGGUGAAAGGAUUAACGGACGAUGUCUGAACAACUGGCUUAGAAGAGGGAAAUCUUUAAAAUUAAUAUUUUCAUUACGAAAAGAAAUAGAAGCAUUCUUGGUUUCAGUAGGGGCAACAACAGUCCAUUUCACAGACAAGCAAUGGCUUUGUGACUUUGGCUUUUUGGUGGAUGUUAUGAACUACCUUCAAGAACUCAGUGAAGAAUUGCAAACUAGUAAAGUCUUUGCUGCUUCUGCCUUUGACCAUAUUUGUACUUUUGAAAGUAAGCUGAAUUUAUUUCAGAGACAUAUUGAAGAAAAAAAUCUAACAGACUUUCCUGCUUUCAAAGAAGUUGUUGAUGAGCUUAAACAGCAAUAUAAGGAAGAUCAAAAAAUAUUUGAUCCCGACAGAUAUCAAAUGGUGAUCUCUCGUCUGCAGAAAGAUUUUGAGAGACAUUUUAAGGACCUAAGAUUCAUCAAAAAGGACUUAGAACUUUUUUCAAAUCCAUUUAACUUUAAACCCGAAUAUGCACCUAUUUCAGUAAGAGUGGAGCUGACAAAACUUCAGGCAAAUACUAGCCUUUGGAAUGAAUAUAGAGUCAAAACCCUGGGACAGUUCUAUGCUGGAUUGCCUGCUGAAUCUUACCCAAUUAUCAAAGGGGUUGCCUAUAAGGUGGCAUCCUUGUUCGAUAGUAACCAAAUCUGUGAAAAGGCUUUUUCUUAUCUGACUCGAAACCAACACACUUUGAGCCAGCCACUGACAGAUGAGCAUCUUCAAGCCCUGUUUCGGGUUGCCACAACUGAAAUGGUUCCCAGUUGGGAUGAUCUUGUGAGAGGAAUAAAUGAAGCUAAUCUAUAAGCCUUUGUAGUACAACAUUGAAAGAAUACCAGAAGCAAAAAUCUGUUUUGAUUUUUUUUUUUUUCCCCCCAAGUUUUCUAAUUUGGAUUGUUGGAAAACACCAAGCUUACUAAACAAGACAUCCAAAUCAAUCACAAUUCAGAACCUCCUGACAGUUGCCUUUUUUUUCAUAUGGCAGCAUGGGACUGAAACAAUAGAAUACCACCUUUUUUAAAAAAACUUUGUUUAAUGGCAAAGUCAUUGUCUUUUACUUUUAUGGUAUAAUUGAUUUUAAGGAGUUUAAUAUUGACAACAUUAGUUGAAUUAGAAGUCUGUUUUUAAGGUGUUCUGAGAAUAUAUGCCAAAAAUUUAACUUUUAUUUUAAUGAAGUUUUAAAAUUUUGAUUCCUGUAGUCUGAAGUUAGCAACCCCUUAAGUGUUUAAACUAAUUUGCAAAAACUCACAUAGCAAGUUCAUGAGUUCAAAAAAGGAAAAACAUAACAUACAGUGGAGGUAUUUUGUCUAACAAAAUGUUUUGAGACUAUAUUUUUAAAACAUUUCUGAGUCUGAAAUAAAUAUUGCCAGAUUUCCUUCCUCUUACCUUCCCCCAUUCACCCCAGUGAAUCUGAUAUUACUAACAGAGGAAGUAAUAAAAAAUUUAGUCAAAGGAGCAAGAAUUGUUUUUAGGUUGCUGAUUUUAGGAGGCUUCCUGCAAUUUGGAGAUAAGACUUAACCAAUUUCUGGGGGUUUUCCCUGAAUUUUUCACAACUGGGGGAUGUUUUAUCAGCUUGUCUGUCAAAGGACUUUGGUAAGUAUAGAAUCUUAACCAUUGCUAGUUAGCAAUUCUUUUUCCUACUCUAGACAGCAGUUUGGCCCUAUCAAAAGGGUGAGGAAAAAAACAGCUUUUUGCACUUCAUGAUGAGGAGGUGUGAGAUAUUUUAGCUUAUUUUAUGUGCGUGUUACCGCUUUAUAAAGAAAUCCUAUUUAAAGGAAACUUUUAAAAUGAUAUCAGAUUUUGCUAGUUGCUGGAAAUUGAUUUAUUCUAAAAUUUAAGACUAUCUUACACGUUUGGUAAAGACAGUGCACAAAUAGAAAUAUUUAAAUUUCAAGAAUUGGUCUUAUUCACAGAUUAUAGUAUUGCCUCAUUUCUAGUAAGACAUCUGUCUUGUGCUAAAAUAGUUACUUUAAACUUAUAUUAAUUGUGACAAGGCAAUCUCACAUUGAAGUCCAAUAUAUAAAACUAAUUUAAAAACGGGACUUAACUUGUAUAUCAUAGAUUCCCAAGUACAGUUUGAAAACUUGUGCUACUAAGUCUUUAACUAUUGCAGCACUUUAUGCUGUGGUCUCUAAUCCAGCAAAUUUAAGGAACCAGGAAACAACCAAGAAUUUAGAAGGAAGUGAUGCACAAGCUAUCUUAAUGGAUGCUGUUAGAGCCUAGGAAGCAAAAUUGUUUCAGUGCUUCUCAAUCAGAGGCAGUAACCCUCCCUUCUAGAGGAUGCUACGAAAUGUGAAGGGACACCUUUUUGGUUGUCUUAUUUGCUGGGGGGGUUUCUGCUGGCAUUUCAACCUAAAGACCGCUCCCUCCUGCAGUAUAUACAACAGCCUGGCAUUAUGAAGAAUUAUCUCUCCCUGCCCGUAAACCCCCAGUGUACAUAUUAUCUUAUGUCAAGAAACAGGGCAAAUUACCGGUAGAAGCAAAAUUAGACAGGCAAGUUGGGUAAACUGAUGGAAUACUUGAUGGGGAGACUAAUUUCAGUAUUCCAAGGUUAGCUGGUAAGGUGCAAUAAAGGUUCCAGUAGCUCACAUAAUAGCAUUUGUAAAUCAGUAAUUAAUUCUGAAUCAGAUUAAAGGGCUCUCUCCUAGUAUACACAAUUAGUUUAGGGCAGAUAAACCUCUUAUAUAUUAAUAACAUCAAGUUGAGAUUUUGAUUAGCAAAGAAUAAGCUCAAAUAUCUGAAAAGAUGACAGUGAAAAACUGAAAAAAAUAAGUCUACCGGUAAUUUCCCGAUAGUUUUUGAGUGUUGCUUUCACAGCAAAUGCUUUAUUACUUGUGAGAAAGUUUGUAAGACUUGAAGGCCGCUUCUGCUUUCUAAUCCCAGUUCCUCACAUAUUGAAAUCUUGUAUAUUUUGUGAAGUUCUAGUAUGUUUUGCUUAACGUGAUAACUAAAAUUAGUUUGCACCAUAUAGUAACUGAGUGGGGAGAGAUAAAAGCAAGGAUUUUAACAUUGAUCCUCAGCAAAAAAGAAUUUGCUAUAACUAGUCUUGUUUAUUUAAAAAAAAAAAAAAGUGUAUUUUACUGUUUUCUGUAUUAAGUAAUUCUGUAGCUGCAUGGCAGUCUUUUCUUUUAUAAAUAUAUAGCUGUUAUUGUUCCUGUUGUAUCAGUGCAUAUAGAUGAAAUAAGUACCAUUUAAAAAAAAAAAAAAAAACAACUUUGUGUCCUUACCAAUUACUUCCCCAUAUCUCCCAUUCCCACUUGUUUCUUGAAAAAUUUGCUCUCCUUGUUUUCUGUUUUGCCACUCAGACUGUUCUAUCAAGCUCACUAAGUCCUUGUCAAUAUCCUUACCAUCCUUGAACUGUUACUUUAGAUUGAGGAGAUUUUAGUUCCAGGUAUGCUUUCUUAGUCUUCUUUGUAGGCACCUCUUCCCUUAAAUAUCUGUUCUUAUUUUUUUUUCAAGGCUACCUACUCUCCCUUGCCUUAUCUCCCUUCCAUCUCCCUAGCCAAUCUCAUCUCCUUCCAUGGCUUCAGUUACCACCUGUAUGCAAAUACUCCCAAAUUCAUAUUUCUUUUCUGGAUUUUUCCCAAGUCAUAUAUUUAAUUGCUAACAAAUCCACCUUGCUGCCUCACAGGCACCAAAACACAUCAUUGAUCUUGACCCCAAACCUCCUGCUCAUUGUUCCUCUUUUCUUCAGUAAACAGAAUUACUACUACCAACCAUCCAAUUGCCCUUACCCAAGCCAAAAACUGAGUCAUUCUGUUCAUGCCAGUCCUAUGCUUUAAUCAUUGCCCUUAGAAUAUAAUAUAAAUUUUUAUUUAUCUUUCAGGUCUCAGUUUAUAUGUACCUUCAUCUAGGUAGCCUUUGUUGAUGCCUCUAGACUAGUUCCCCUGAACUAAAUUCCCUACAUACACUUAGUUCUUAUUACUGGUUAUUGAUCACUGCUAGACUAAGCUUUACAAGGGCAGGGACCAUAUAAACCUUGCUCACUAUUUUAUCUUUAGCAGUUAGCACAAUGCCUGGCAUUUUAAGAAAUGUUUGAAUAAAUAAAUAUUUGUGUAGUGUUUUACAAUCUUUGAAGCUCUAGCACAGUCGCAUUUGACCUUCACAGUCACCCUACCUGUUCACUAGGUAGUUGUAAAACACAUUGCAAAUUAACAAUAAAACUAAGUUCUUUGUGACUAGGGACCUCAUUAUUGUAUUCCUAGAAUUUAGUGCAGUGCUUAGCAUGUGGUUCACAAUGUGAAUGUUGUCAAGGAAACAAACUGAGAUUGCAAUUUUCCCUAGUAAACANCAGUAAUUAAAAAGUUACAUUCAGUAUUAGAGAAAGAUAAUGCCACAUAAGAGUUAAUAUCCAUUUUUCCUUUUGUAGGCAUCAACCCUAGGAGAAAAUGGCAUGCUAUUUAUUUUGCUACUUUCCUUUACAGAUGAUUUCUGGCUCUUCUGGAAUUUAAAAGUAAGUAAAUUUAACAAAAUAGAAGAAUGACUUCAUCCUCUGGUCACUAGUUAUUCAGUUCAUUUGCUUUCCCACCUGCAUAAGGUUCUUAUCACCUCUGCAAGGAAGAUAACCCAAAAGUGCUGUAUAGUUAAUUCAUACUUUUAGAUAUGCUAUAUUUCUUUGCUUUCAUAUUUCCAUGCCUCUCUGAACUUAAUUUCUGGGUAACAGGACUUCAGUCUUAAAUAGGGGAGCCAUACCCUUAGUCUUUUUCCUUAAACUGUUCUAAUUUACAGGAUUAACUACCAUUAUACUCUUAGUUGGAUUUUUAAUCUGAGUCACAUUAAUUCAUUCAGAGAUCUUAACAGUAGAUAUGGCAGUCAUCCAGUGAUUUGAUCCUUGCUGUAGAACUAUUUAAUCAACCUUUAAGUGAAAGGAUUUUUCACUUUUGUCUUAUAAUUGAAAAGUUGCUUCAUUCUACCCAGUAAGUAUUUGAGUUUAUGAUUCUAUUUCUUUCCAUUUCUGCCUGUAAACUGACAAGUUCUUUUCUGAGUUAUUUCUUCUCUACAUUUUGUCAGAUGCAGCCAAAAUCAACCACAAAAUAAUUUGUUUUUCUUUUUAUUUAGUAAAGGGUAGAUUAUCAGCCUUCUAGUUUAUCUCCAGGAAUAGUUUGGCCUCUCCUUAAUAGCAAUUGUCCCUGUGUAAGUUAUUUCUUUCAUCCUCCAGUAGUAAUUUCCUGAAUGCCUGCCAACUAAUCACUAGGCCAUUGGGUUCAGUAUUCAGUAACCGCUACAAAAUCUUAGGGUUUCAAAUAACUUGUCUCUUGCAAAUAACUUGUCUAGGGACUUUGUUCUAGGUAAGGGAUUGGCAAACUACAGCACAUAGUCAAAAUCCAUCCUGAUUUAUGUUUCUCUCUCUCUCUCUCUUUUUUUUUUUUUACUAUUUUUUAAUAGUUUUAUUUAUUUUUUAAAAGUUUUAUUGGAGUACAGCCUUGUCCAUUUAUAUAUUUUCUAUGGCUGAUUGUGUUUUACAGUGGCAGAGUUGAAAAGUUUCAACAGCAAGUAUAUGUCCCACAAAGCCUAAAAUAUUUACUUUGUGGCCCUUUACAGAAAAAGUUUCUUAAUCCUUGUUCUUUAUUUUCCUCAUUCUGGGACUCAGGCUGACAAAGCAGUUACCAUCAGGGAUGUGGCUGCUCAAUUUGGGAAGUGAAAAAAGUUUGGCAAAUAACUUGUAGACCCUUAAAGUAACACAGCCACACCUCAGUCCUAGGAGCAUAAUCCUUCCCCAACAAGGGAGGAAAGCCAGAAAUAUUUGGAAGAUAACACUACUGAUUAACAUGAUUAUAUUUCUCCAUUUAUACAAUUUUUUCAAUAUAUUUUUGCCUUUUUAUUGAUGUAAAACUUGAAAGUUGACAAAAAUUAAGUGUAUGUUUGAAUGUACCACCCAGAUCAUGAUAGAAAAUAUUUCUGUCACCCCAGUAGGUGUCCUUAUGCCUUUCUCACAUACAGAUAACUGCUAUUCUGACCUGUAUCACCAUCAGUUAGCUUUACCUGUUUAAAAACUAUAUAAGUGGAAUAAUUAUAUGCACUCUUUCGUGUCUUUGUUCAACAUGUUUGUGAGGGUAAUCCAUGUGGAUGUAGUAGAAGCAAUUCAUUUUUACUUUGUGUUGUAUUCCAUUGUAUGACUCUACUACAAUUUAUCUAUUCUAAUGCUGAUGGAAAUUUGGAUUGUUUCCAAUUUGUGGUUAUUAUGAAUAAAGUU
rnacentral:lncRNA from 1 species